AACUUCAAUCGUUUUCAACUUCUUCCUUUGAAGGAAAUGAUGGAUUAUAUGGUCCUCCAUUGGAUCUAAUGUGUGUGCUAAUUAGUAUAUUAGUAUUUUGUAUUUCUGCAUUUGCUGUUGUUUCUAGUGUGAAAAUGUAUAACAGCUUUUAAUAUUCCCGUAAAGUGUGGAAGACUAGUUUCCGACUUACUUUCUGUUUUGUGCACAAUAUAUUUCAUAUGAAUUUCUGCAUAUUAUUCUA
rnacentral:lncRNA from 1 species